AUGGAAUAUCAGCCGAUCGUCUCUGCGCUGGACGUCCGCACCGAGCCGAUCACCAUCGACAUCCUCUUCUCCAUGGUGGCGAACUUUGACCAGCGGGUCGAGAUGUUCCACGGCAACGGCGGCGGCGCCUUCAAGUUGUCGGCAAACAUUGCUUCUCGCGGUCGCGGCAACAAGGGCAACUACCGCAACCAGAAGGGCAACGGUGGUGGCUCCCGUGGCGGCAACUAUGGUGGCACCAGCCACGGCAAUGGAGGCAGCGGCUACAAUGGUGGUGGCGGCUACAACGGUGGUGGCAACUACCACCUGAACAACAACCAAGGCGGCGGCGGGGGCUAUCACGGUGGUGGUGGCGGCUAUCAUGGUGGUGGUGGCGGCUACCAUCACCAGGGUCCCCCAAACAGCGCCAACAACGCGCGGCGCCCCCCCCCAACAACAAAAAUAGGGGGCGCAACUUCCAAGGCUAUGAUGGCUACGAGGGUAAAUGUCAAAUUUGUAAGAAAACAAAUCAUAUAG
rnacentral:rRNA from 1 species